CUGGAGAGCAGGAUCAUGCUAUUCUGGGUGAAGUGGUGAGCAGUUUGCCAGGUCCUGUAGCUGUAAUGAAGAAAAGCAUCUCCAAAGGUGGUAUAAUCACUACAGACUCCUCUUCAAAGCAACUGAAGGUGCAGACUGGCCAGCCUCUUUGGACAACUCUCCUGGUGGUUGGAGUGGUCCUUAUGGUGGCUACCUUAGCUUUUGCAUGUUUUGCAUCUGGAUUUCAAAGGAAUAAGUUUACCAAAUAAAAAUUUUCUACUGUA